rnacentral:rRNA from 1 species
UGGGGAAUUUUGGACAAUGGGCGCAAGCCUGAUCCAGCCAUGCCGCGUGCAGGAUGAAGGCCUUCGGGUUGUAAACUGCUUUUGUACGGAACGAAAAGACUCCUUCUAAUAAAGGGGGUCCAUGACGGUACCGUAAGAAUAAGCACCGGCUAACUACGUGCCAGCAGCCGCGGUAAUACGUAGGGUGCAAGCGUUAAUCGGAAUUACUGGGCGUAAAGCGUGCGCAGGCGGUGAUGUAAGACAGGUGUGAAAUCCCCGGGCUCAACCUGGGACCUGCAUUUGUGACUGUAUAGCUAGAGUACGGUAGAGGGGGAUGGAAUUCCGCGUGUAGCAGUGAAAUGCGUAGAUAUGCGGAGGAACACCGAUGGCGAAGGCAAUCCCCUGGGCCUGCACCGACGCUCAUGCACGAAAGCGUGGGGAGCAAACA